GACGAACGCUGGCGGCGUGCUUAACACAUGCAAGUCGAACGGAAAGGCCCCCAUCUUGGUGGGGGUGCUCGAGUGGCGAACGGGUGAGUAACACGUGGGUGAUCUGCCCUGUACUUCGGGAUAAGCUUGGGAAACUGGGUCUAAUACCGGAUAGGACCAUGGUUUAGUGUCUCAUGGUGGAAAGAUUAUUGUUUUGGUGCAGGAUGAGCUCGCGGCCUAUCAGCUUGUUGGUGGGGUAAUGGCCUACCAAGGCGUCGACGGGUAGCCGGCCUGAGAGGGUGGACGGCCACAUUGGGACUGAGAUACGGCCCAGACUCCUACGGGAGGCAGCAGUGGGGAAUAUUACACAAUGGGCGCAAGCCUGAUGCAGCGACGCCGCGUGGGGGAUGACGGCCUUCGGGUUGUAAACUCCUUUCGUUAGGGACGAAGCCACGCUUGUUGGGUGUGGUGACGGUACCUUUGUUAAGAAGCACCGGCUAACUACGUG
rnacentral:rRNA from 1 species